CCGGCAGCGGCAGAGCGAGCGGCAGAGGCAAGAUGGGUCAAAGUCAGAGUGGUGGCCAUGGUCCUGGAGGUGGCAAGAAGGAUGACAAGG